rnacentral:rRNA from 1 species
AGUGAACGCUGGCGGUAGGCCUAACACAUGCAAGUCGAACGGCAGCACAGUAAGAGCUUGCUCUUACGGGUGGCGAGUGGCGGACGGGUGAGGAAUACAUCGGACUCUACUUUUUCGUGGGGGAUAACGUAGGGAAACUUACGCUAAUACCGCAUACGACCUACGGGUGAAAGCAGGGGAUCUUCGGACCUUGCGCGAUUGAAUGAGCCGAUGUCGGCUUAGCUAGUUGGCGGGGUAAUGGCCCACCAGGGCGACGAGCCGUAGCUGGGCUGAGAGGAGGAUCGGCGGCACGGGAGCUGGGACACGGUCCAGGCUCCUGCGGGAGGCAGCAGUGGGGAAUAUUGGACAAUGGGCGGAAGCCUGGUCCAGCCAUACCGCGUGGGUGAAGAAGGCCUUCGGGUUGGAAAGCCCUUUUGUUGGGAAAGAAAAGCAGCAGGUUAAGACCCCGCUGUUCUGACGGUACCCAAAGAAUAAGCACCGGCUAACUUCGUG